GCUAAUACCGCAUAAUGUCUUCGGACCAGACGGGGCUUCGGCUCCGGCGCAAAGAGAGGCCCAAGUGAGAUUAGCUAGUUGGUAAGGUAACGGCUUACCAAGGCGACGAUCUCUAGCUGUUCUGAGAGGAAGAUCAGCCACACUGGGACUGAGACACGGCCCAGACUCCUACGGGAGGCAGCAGUGGGGAAUAUUGCACAAUGGGGGAAACCCUGAUGCAGCCAUGCCGCGUGUGUGAAGAAGGCCUUCGGGUUGUAAAGCACUUUCAGUUGUGAGGAAAAGUUAGUAGUUAAUACCUGCUAGCCGUGACGUUGACAACAGAAGAAGCACCGGCUAACUCCGUGCCAGCAGCCGCGGUAAUACGGAGGGUGCGAGCGUUAAUCGGAAUUACUGGGCGUAAAGCGCACGCAGGCGGUUUGUUAAGCUAGAUGUGAAAGCCCCGGGCUCAACCUGGGAUGGUCAUUUACAACUGGCAGACUAUAGUCUUGGAGAGGGGAGUGGAAUUCCAGGUGUAGCGGUGAAAUGCGUAGAUAUCUGGAGGAACAUCAGUGGCGAACGCGACUCCCUG
rnacentral:rRNA from 1 species